AUGGUCUUGCUCAAAGCCGAAAGAAAGCGAACGAAAAUGAGACACGAACACGAACACGCCAACACACACGCCAACACAAGACCAGGCAAAUCCCUAACUCUCCCCCUUUGGCAGCAAGACACCAAAAGGGACGACACGACACACGAUGGUAGUAGGUCUCCAUGGCAUCACCAGUCAUGCUCCUCCUAUUCCUCAUCCUCAGAAACCUCUGCAGCACGGGGAGAAGUACAAACUCCGGUGUCCUCCUCAGCGUCAGACCAUGGGCAAUGCACUCUGAUCCAGGACUCCUCAUCAGUGAUCCUCUCCUCAGAGCCAUCUGGAGCCUCAAGGCCAACCUGUCUCAUCAUAGCCUUGUCACGGCGACGAGCCAUCUUGGCCUCCUUGUGA
rnacentral:rRNA from 1 species